GACGAACGCUGGCGGCGUGCUUAACACAUGCAAGUCGAACGGAAAGGCCCUGCUUUUGUGGGGUGCUCGAGUGGCGAACGGGUGAGUAACACGUGAGUAACCUGCCCUUGACUUUGGGAUAACUUCAGGAAACUGGGGCUAAUACCGGAUAGGAGCUCCUGCUGCAUGGUGGGGGUUGGAAAGUUUCGGCGGUUGGGGAUGGACUCGCGGCUUAUCAGCUUGUUGGUGGGGUAGUGGCUUACCAAGGCUUUGACGGGUAGCCGGCCUGAGAGGGUGACCGGCCACAUUGGGACUGAGAGACGGCCCAGACUCCUACGGGAGGCAGAAGGGGGGAAUAAUGCACAAUGGGCGGAAGGCUUAUGCAGCAACGCCGCGGGCGGGAUGGCGGCCUUCGGGGUGUAAACCGCUUUUGCCUGUGACGAAGCGUGAGUGACGGGAAUGGGUAAAGAAGCACCGGCUAACUACGUG
rnacentral:rRNA from 1 species